rnacentral:lncRNA from 10 species
CAGGGGCAAAAGGAUGCAGGGAGGCUGCUGAUUUCCACUGAAGAGCUAAUUUCCUGUGAGACAUUAACAGUGAUUUAAGAAAAAGAUUCCUGUAACUGUAAUGUCUUACAAUAACAGAAUGCAGGAGAGCACAUAUCAAUGAAGAAAAGACAAAAUGUACUUAUCCAUGAAGCUGAGGUUAAGAAACCAGUGUCUUCAAGAGCCAGGGACAGCACUGGGUCUGUGCAGAGUUGAGAGAUGGUGAUGACAUGGUGAGACACAAAUUCAGUCUAUUUCAUAGUUUGUGGUCAUUCCUAUUAAUAAACUUCCUUUCACAACUGUUUCAAUAUUCACACAAAAAUGUUAACCCAAUCUGCAGUUGUACCCCUUGAAUGUAAAAUAAAAAACAAAAGCCCACAAAAAUAGGAAUCCACACUUAAAAGGUGGAUUUAUUUAGCACAGUAUGGAGUUUCUUAGACUUCUCUAUCACUGUCUCUAACAAUGACAUACUCACCUAACCCCACUAAGAGCAACUUUAUUUCAUCUCUAGUUUUCGUCUAAAGAUUCAUGUGGAUUUUAGAUUCUACUCUUUUGUAGGUUCGUAUUUGUACUAUUAUAAAAUGUGACUCUCUCUCCAAACUUUGCCUAAAUUAUGGAAUG